rnacentral:rRNA from 1 species
AUGGGAAGCACAGGGGCAGCUAGAACCAUGCCAGUGCAGGAGCUUGCUGGAGCCCUUGGCACACCCGACGUGCCAGCACCGUACAUCGUGCGCACGCACAAGGACCAACAACUCUCCUCGGCGGUUGUAGCGCCGGUCCCUGUCAUCGACCACGGCCGCCUUCUACAGAAGGACGACAGCGCCGACGAAGCUGCGAAGCUCCGGUCAGCGAUCGAGUCCUGGGGCCUCUUCAUGGUCAGUAACCACGGCGUAGACGCCGCGGUGAUAGAGAGCAUGAGAGCCGUGUCGAGGGAGUUUUUCCGGCAGCCGCUCGAAGAGAAGCAAAGAUACAGUAACCUGAUCUGCGGCGAGCAGUUCCAGUCAGAGGGGUACGGGAACGACUGGGUGAGCUCGCCGGACCAGACCCGGGACUGGACCGACCGCCUCUACCUCAAGGUGGAGCCCGAAGACGAGCGGCGCAUUGCCCUCUGGCCAGAGCAUCCUGAAAACUUCAGGGAUGCUCUGCACGAGUUCACCAAGAAAUGUGGGAAAUUGAAGGACGAACUGCUCCGGGCAAUGGGGAAGCUGUUGGAGCUUGACGAUGAUGACUACUUCGUGGACCAGCUUGGGGAGAAGGCUCUUACUAACGCCAGAUGCAGCUACUACCCAGAGUGUCCAAGGCCAGAGCUCGUGUUCGGCCUCAAGCCCCACUCCGAUGGAACCGUUGUUACUGUCCUAAUGGUCGACGACAGCGUCGGUGGCCUGCAAGUUCUCAAAGAUGGAGUUUGGUGGGAUGUACCUGUGGUACCUCAGACACUGUUGAUCCUUAUAGGAGAUCAAAUAGAGAUAAUGAGCAAUGGGAUAUUUAAGAGCCCUGUGCAUAGGGUAAUCACAAAUGCAAAGAAAGAGAGGCUAUCAGUGGCUCUAGACUACUCUGUUGAUCCUGAGAGAGAAAUCGAGCCAUCGCCUCAAUUGGUCAAUGAGAAGAGACCUGCGUUGUACAGAAAAGUGAAGGUCAAGGACUACAUUGCCACUUAUUACAAUCAUUUUUUUCAAGGGGAAAUGGUGAUCGAUACGAUUAAGAUAUAA